rnacentral:rRNA from 1 species
GACGAACGCUGGCGGCGUGCUUAACACAUGCAAGUCGAACGGUGAAGCGCCUUCCUUUUUGGUGGGUGUGGAUGAGUGGCGAACGGGUGAGUAACACGUGAGUAACCUGCCCCCUUCUUCUGGAUAACCGCAUGAAAGUGUGGCUAAUACGGGAUAUUCUGGGUCUGUCGCAUGUUGUGUCUGGGAAAGAUAUUGUUUCGGUGGGGGAUGGGCUCGCGGCCUAUCAGCUUGUUGGUGGGGUGAUGGCCUACCAAGGCGGUGACGGGUAGCCGGCCUGAGAGGGUGGACGGUCACACUGGGACUGAGACACGGCCCAGACUCCUACGGGAGGCAGCAGUGGGGAAUAUUGCACAAUGGGCGCAAGCCUGAUGCAGCGACGCCGCGUGAGGGAUGGAGGCCUUCGGGUUGUGAACCUCUUUCGCCAGUGAAGCAGGCCUGCCUCGUUUGUGGGUGGGUUGACGGUAGCUGGAUAAGAAGCGCCGGCUAACUACGUG